rnacentral:rRNA from 1 species
AUCAAAGGGUACCCGUCAGAGCAUGUACGUGGAGCGAGCGGACGUACAAGCUGUGCUUCUCUGAUGUUAGCGGCGGACGGGUGAGUAACACGUGGAUAACCUACCUAUAAGACUGGGAUAACUUCGGGAAACCGGAGCUAAUACCGGAUAAUAUUUUGAACCGCAUGGUUCAAAAGUGAAAGACGGUCUUGCUGUCACUUAUAGAUGGAUCCGCGCUGCAUUAGCUAGUUGGUAAGGUAACGGCUUACCAAGGCAACGAUGCAUAGCCGACCUGAGAGGGUGAUCGGCCACACUGGAACUGAGACACGGUCCAGACUCCUACGGGAGGCAGCAGUAGGGAAUCUUCCGCAAUGGGCGAAAGCCUGACGGAGCAACGCCGCGUGAGUGAUGAAGGUCUUCGGAUCGUAAAACUCUGUUAUUAGGGAAGAACAUAUGUGUAAGUAACUGUGCACAUCUUGACGGUACCUAAUCAGAAAGCCACGGCUAACUACGUGCCAGCAGCCGCGGUAAUACGUAGGUGGCAAGCGUUAUCCGGAAUUAUUGGGCGUAAAGCGCGCGUAGGCGGUUUUUUAAGUCUGAUGUGAAAGCCCACGGCUCAACCGUGGAGGGUCAUUGGAAACUGGAAAACUUGAGUGCAGAAGAGGAAAGUGGAAUUCCAUGUGUAGCGGUGAAAUGCGCAGAGAUAUGGAGGAACACCAGUGGCGAAGGCGACUUUCUGGUCUGUAACUGACGCUGAUGUGCGAAAGCGUGGGGAUCAAACAGGAUUAAUACCCCUGGUAGUCCACGCCGUAAACGAUGAUUGCUAAGUGUUAGGGGGGUUUCCGCCUCUUUAUUGCUGCAGCUAACGCAUUAAGCUCUCCGCCUGGGGAAUACUACCGGAAGGGUUU